AGUUCGCUUUAUUUUGAAGAAAAAAAGAAAAAAAAAAAAGAGAGAGAGACAGAGAAAGAAAAAAGUGUUAAAAAUUUCGUGCGUUUUAAACGAAUGAGCACAAUUUCUAGAGCCUGCUUUUCAACAUAGAUUAUGUUUGAUCUUUUCUUUCGUGUGUGCAUUUUCAGCCACGAUGGUUUGCUAAAGCUCAGAAUAUCCAAAACUGAACUUCAUAUCUCUGUCUACUUUUUUGUUGUUUACAGCACCAGCUAGAUCAAAAUAGCGGCUUUUAUUUCACAUUCCUCAAUACACAGUUCAUCGAAGUAUCCUCAGGAUCUGCAUGUGGAGUAUAGAUACCAAGUGUAAUCAAGGACAACUCCAAGGUUCUUAGUCCAAGAACUGGAAGGUCAAAGCUGAUAUUUACUGAAAUGGAGAACUCUGCAAGAGCAGGUUUGGGAGCAAGGAAGCCUUGAAAUUCAGUUCUGGGUAUACAAAUUUGAGUUGCUAUAUCAGGCUCUUUAGAGCUGAAGGAGCAGAGAUGGUUCUGAUUUUAGAACAGAGGGAAGAAAGAGCACAGUGGAGCCGCAUCAUGGCCCUUAAGGCUUCUUCU